AUGGGCCCGGCCCCGCUAACCGCCGCCCCCCAACGGUCCGGGGCAGGGCCUUCGCCCGCGAACAAAAGGCCCCGCGGAGUUCACGCGUGGGGCGGCGGGGAGGGGGAGGGGCGCGCUGGGCGCGCUCCCGGCUCGCGCCCCCCGCCCGCGCCCCCGCGCCCGCCCCCGCGCGGCACUCACAUCUCCGACACGCUUCUUCGCUGCCGAACAGAGUCAUGCCAGCCCGCGGGGGGCCCGCCGGGUGCCAGCGAGGGGCGAAGCCGCCGCCGCCGCUGCUGCUGCCGGCCGUGGCCGUGGCCGCGGCCCGGGGCGGCGGGGGUGCGGCUCUCGGCUCGCUGCUGCGCCCUCGGCCGCGGCUCGCCGGCCCCAGCCCCAGCCCCAGCCCCUCGUGCGCCGCCGCCGCCGCCGCCGCCGCCGCGUCCUCCCCGCCGCCGCCGAAGCCCCCCCGGCGGGGCUGAGCGCGGGGCCACUGGAACGUACCAUGUCCCCGGCGGGCGCGGGGGAGCGCGGCGGCGCGGGGCGGGGACACGAGGCGCCCCACCUCGGCCGCGCGCGGGGGGGGCCGCCCGCCGCGGGGCUUCGGGCCCGGGGACAUGGGGCCGCCGCCGAGCAGCGCGCAGGGAGGGCGGGGGCGGCGGGCGGCCUCCCUCCUCCCCCUCCUCCUCCCCCGCGGCGGCGGCGGCCGAGGCUCGGCCCGAGGGGCGGAGCGCGGGAGGGGGCGGGGCGCGGGAGGGGGCGGAGCGCGGGAGGGGGCGGGGCCAGGCCCGAGCUCCCGGGCAGGGCGGGGCUGCCCGCGAGGAGAGAAGGAGCGAGCCGGCGGGCGGGGGCCGGGCGGUCCGGCGCCUCCCCCGCGCAGACACCUGCGAGCACUCACCUGGGCGUGCGCGCGUGCUCCGCCGCGCCUGGGGGGGCCCCCGCGCGUGCCUGCCCUUAUGCCUGCUUCCGAGCAUCCUGGGCACGGGCCCGCCCGCGCUGGGGACGCCCAGGCACCUCCCGGCGCGCAUACAAUAA
rnacentral:lncRNA from 1 species